rnacentral:rRNA from 1 species
GAUGAACGCUGGCGGCGUGCCUAAUACAUGCAAGUCGAGCGAACAGACGAGGAGCUUGCUCCUCUGACGUUAGCGGCGGACGGGGGAGUAACACGUGGAUAACCUACCUAUAAGACUGGGAUAACUUCGGGAAACCGGAGCUAAUACCGGAUAAUAUAUUGAACCGCAUGGUUCAAUAGUGAAAGACGGUUGUGCUGUCACUUAUAGAUGGAUCCGCGCCGCAUUAGCUAGUUGGUAAGGUAACGGCUUACCAAGGCGACGAUGCGUAGCCGACCUGAGAGGGUGAUCGGCCCCACUGGAACUGAGACACGGUCCAGACUCCUACGGGAGGCAGCAGUAGGGAAUCUUCCGCAAUGGGCGAAAGCCUGACGGAGCAACGCCGCGUGAGUGAUGAAGGUCUUCGGAUCGUAAAACUCUGUUAUUAGGGAAGAACAAAUGUGUAAGUAACUAUGCACGUCUUGACGGUACCUAAUCUGAAAGCCACGGCUAACUACGUG